rnacentral:lncRNA from 1 species
UGCAUUUCUGUAUUAAGAGUAGGAAGAUCUCUUUCAGCGAGAGACUCAUUCACUUUGAUGCAAAUCUGAACGCCAAUAGCAUUCAGAGCUUCUUUCAAAUCAAAAGUUUUCUUGCUCAUGCCUUCAAGAAGAGGAACAGAGAUUCUUUUCAGUUGGUUGGCAAAAUCAGGCACGUUUACAAUUGCUGCACCCACCAUAUUGUUUGUUAUGAGACAAACACAAGCUAUGAUUUUUAAUUGAUUCAGCUUUUCUCUCAACUCCUGAAGACGAACUUCAUCUGUUAUUAGAGUCUCUGGAAUUGUUUUGUGGUAGUCCCAUUGUAAUAGUUUCAAGUAGCCAUUGUUUAGCACCAGUGUAGGACUAAUACUUGAUUUAGAACUAUGAUCAGCACCAGGGGAUGAGGAUGAUUCAUUGGAAAUGGAUGACAAUUCAUCUUCUAUUGAUUCCUUUAUCCAUUCUGUUGUGAGAUCCAGAGCACUUGGUGUUUCUUCAAGAAUUUCCUGGAAUUUUGUUCUUUCAUAGUCCACCAAAUUACGCCGAAGGUACGGUCUAAGGCUUUGAAUUGUGUAAUUUGCUACAUCCAUUUUCAUCAGGUCCAGGACAUGGAAGAUUUGCCUCAGUAAUUCUACAAUAUUUUCAGUUGCUUUUAACUGUUUUAUAUCGUUGUCUCUUAUUGGAGCACAUAAUUUUCCCAUAGUGUUG